rnacentral:misc_RNA from 1 species
GAUGAAGAACGCAGCGAAAUGCGAUAAGUAAUGCGAAUUGCAGAAUUCAGUGAAUCAUCGAAUCUUUGAACGCACAUUGCGCCCGCCAGUAUUCUGGCGGGCAUGCCUGUCUGAGCGUCGUUUCGACCCUCGCGCCCGGCUUCUGUCGGGGGCGGUGUUGGGGAUCGGCCACACCCUUCAGUGGGAGGCCGGCCCCUAAAUUCAGUGGCGCCCACGCUGUAGCCUCCCCUGCGUAGUACUAAAACCACCUCGCAGGCGGAGAGCGGUGCGGCCCGCCGUAAAACCCCCCAACUUUUACAAGGUCGACCUCAGAUCAGGUAGGAAUACCCGCUGAACUUAAGCAUAUCAAUAAGCGGAGGA